GAUGCUGAGGAAUUAUGCUCUGCUUUGAAAGAUGUGGCUUCCUCGAGUAGAAAAACAACAGGGCAAUCUAGUGGCUGGUCAUCUUCUGACGAUGAGGCUGAUCCUAUGGAUCAUGAAGAUGAAGAUCGAAAUGGUAGGAGUUUCAAGGAGCAAAGAAAAGCACACUAUGAUGAGUAUUUGAAAAUCAAGGAAUUGAGA